GAAGGUCCCAAGCGUUAUCCGGAUUUAUUGGGUUUAAAGGGUGCGUAGGCGGGCUAUUAAGUCAGUGGUGAAAGCCCCAAGCUUAACUUGGGAACUGCCAUUGAUACUGAUGGUCUUGAGUACAUUUGAGGUGGGCGGAAUGUGUCAUGUAGCGGUGAAAUGCUUAGAUAUGACACAGAACACCGAUUGCGAAGGCAGCUCACUAAACUGUAACUGACGCUGAGGCACGAAAGCGUGGGGAGCAAACAGGAUUAGAUACCCUGGUAGUCCACGCCCUAAACGAUGAUCACUCGAUGUGUGCGAUAUACUGUACGCGUCUGAGCGAAAGCAUUAAGUGAUCCACCUGGGGAGUACGACCGCAAGGUUGAA
rnacentral:rRNA from 1 species